UACGUAGGUGGCGAGCGUUAUCCGGAAUGAUUGGGCGUAAAGGGUGCGUAGGCGGUCUUUUAAGUCUGAUGUGAAAGCCUUCGGCUUAACCGGAGUAGUGCAUUGGAAACUGGGAGACUUGAGUGCAGAAGAGGAGAGUGGAACUCCAUGUGUAGCGGUGAAAUGCGUAGAUAUAUGGAAGAACACCAGUGGCGAAAGCGGCUCUCUGGUCUGUAACUGACGCUGAGGUUCGAAAGCGUGGGUAGCAAACAGG
rnacentral:rRNA from 1 species